UACGAAGGGUGCAAGCGUUACUCGGAAUUACUGGGCGUAAAGCGUGCGUAGGUGGUGCGUUAAGUCUGUCGUGACAUCCCCGGGCUCAACCUGGGAAUGGCGAUGGAUACUGGCGCGCUAGAGUGCGGUAGAGGAUGGCGGAAUUCCCGGUGUAGCAGUGAAAUGCGUAGAGAUCGGGAGGAACAUCUGUGGCGAAGGCGGCCAUCUGGACCAGCACUGACACUGAGGCACGAAAGCGUGGGGAGCAAACAGG
rnacentral:rRNA from 1 species